rnacentral:rRNA from 1 species
GACGAACCGUGCGAACGUUGUUCGGAAUCACUGGGCUUAAAGGGUGCGUAGGCGGCCAAGCCAGUCGGGCGUGAAAUACCUCGGCUCAACCGAGGAAUUGCGUCCGAUACUACUUGGCUCGAGGGAGAUAGGGGCGCGUGGAACUUCGGGUGGAGCGGUGAAAUGCGUUGAGAUCCGAAGGAACACCGGUGGCGAAGGCGACGCGCUGGGUCUCUUCUGACGCUGAGGCACGAAAGCUAGGGUAGCGAACGGG